rnacentral:rRNA from 1 species
GACGUAGGGGGCGAGCGUUGUCCGGAAUUACUGGGCGUAAAGAGCACGUAGGCGGGAACUUAAGUCAGGUGUGAAAGACCGAGGCUCAACCUCGGGUAUGCACUUGAAACUGGGUUUCUUGAGGGCAGGAGAGGAAAGCAGAAUUCCUGGUGUAGCGGUGAAAUGCGUAGAAAUCAGGAGGAAUACCAGUGGCGAAGGCGGCUUUCUGGACUGACCCUGACGCUGAGGUGCGAAAGCGUGGGUAGCAAACAGGAUUAGAUACCCUGGUAGUCCCUGA